GACGAACGCUGGCGGCGUGCUUAACACAUGCAAGUCGAACGGAAAGGCGCUUCUUUUGUCUGGUGCUCGAGUGGCGACCAGGUGAUUAAUACGAGAGUAGUCUCCCCCCGCCUUUGUGUUAACAUCCGCAAACUAGUGUGACUACUGCAGAGUAUCUUCUGCCUCUUGGUGGGGGUUGGUGAGUUUGGGCGGUUGGGGAUGGAUUUGUGGCUUAUCAGCUGGUUGGUGGGGUUGUGGCCUACCAAGGCUUGGAAGGGUAGCCGGCCUGGGUGGGUGAUCGGCCACAUUGGGACUGAGAUGCAGCCAAGACUGCUGAGGGUGGCAGCAGUGGGGCAUGUUGCACGAUGGGCGGAAGCCUGAUGCAGGAACGCCGCGUGCGGGUUAACGGCCUUCGGGUUGUAAGCCGCUUUCGCCUGUGACGAAGCGUGGGUGACGGUAAUGGGUAAAGAAGCACCGGCUAACUACGUG
rnacentral:rRNA from 1 species